rnacentral:rRNA from 1 species
UUAGUAACGCGUGGGAAUAUACCCUUCACUAUGGAAUAGCCUCGGGAAACUGAGAGUAAUACCAUAUACGCCCUUCGGGGGAAAGAUUUAUCGGUGAAGGAUUAGCCCGCGUAAGAUUAGAUAGUUGGUGGGGUAAUGGCCUACCAAGUCUACGAUCUUUAGCUGGUUUUAGAGGAUGAUCAGCAACACUGGGACUGAGACACGGCCCAGACUCCUACGGGAGGCAGCAGUGGGGAAUCUUAGACAAUGGGCGAAAGCCUGAUCUAGCCAUGCCGCGUGAGUGAUGAAGGUCUUAGGAUCGUAAAGCUCUUUCGCUAGGGAUGAUAAUGACAGUACCUAGUAAAGAAGCCCCGGCUAACUCCGUGCCAGCAGCCGCGGUAAUACGGAGGGGGCUAGCGUUGUUCGGAAUUACUGGGCGUAAAGCGUACGUAGGCGGAUCAGAAAGUAUGGGGUGAAAUCCCAGGGCUUAACCCUGGAACUGCCUCAUAAACUCCUGGUCUUGAGUUCGAGAGAGGUGAGUGGAAUUCCAAGUGUAGAGGUGAAAUUCGUAGAUAUUUGGAGGAACACCAGUGGCGAAGGCGGCUCACUGGCUCGAUACUGACGCUGAGGUACGAAAGUGUGGGGAGCAAACAGGAUUAGAUACCCUGGUAGUCCACACCGUAAACGAUGAAUGCCAGUCGUCGGGCAGUAUACUGG